rnacentral:rRNA from 1 species
UACGUAGGUGGCAAGCGUUGUCCGGAUUUACUGGGCGUAAAGGAUGCGUAGGCGGACAUUUAAGUCAGAUGUGAAAUACCCGAGCUUAACUUGGGUGCUGCAUUUGAAACUGAGUGUCUAGAGUGCAGGAGAGGUAAGUGGAAUUCCUAGUGUAGCGGUGAAAUGCGUAGAGAUUAGGAAGAACACCAGUGGCGAAGGCGACUUACUGGACUGUAACUGACGCUGAGGCAUGAAAGCGUGGGGAGCAAACAGGG